rnacentral:rRNA from 1 species
AUUGAACGCUGGCGGCGUGCCUAAUACAUGCAAGUAGAACGCAGUUGCGAACGGGUGAGUAACGCGUAGGUAACUGCCUGGUAGCGGGGGAUAACUAUUGGAAACGAUAGCUAAUACCGCAUACUACCAGAUGGACCUGCGUUGUAUUAGCUAGUUGGUGGGGUAACGGCCCACCAAGGCAACGAUACAUAGCCGACCUGAGAGGGUGAUUGGUCAAACUGGGACUGGGGACAGGGCCCGACUUCCUCCGGAGGGCGCAGUAGGGAAAUUUUGGGAAUGGGAGGAAGGUUGACCGAGCCACGCCGCGGGAGUGAAGAAAGGUUUUGGAUUCGAAAGCUCUGUUGUAAGAGAAGCGGUAUCUUACCAGAAAGGGACGGCUAACUACGUGCCAGCAGCCGCGGUAAUAC